rnacentral:snoRNA from 1 species
GCUAAUGAUGAUUUGUACGAUGUACGGAGUUGCAAGUGGUGCCAAGUCCUUGAUAUCAAGGAGAACCUUCUUGGUGUUUCCCUUGCAUCUGAAUGACACCAUUGGUUUUUUACUGAGGU